rnacentral:rRNA from 1 species
AAUUGGAGGGCAAGUCUGGUGCCAGCAGCCGCGGUAAUUCCAGCUCCAAUAGCGUAUAUUAAAGUUGUUGCAGUUAAAAAGCUCGUAGUUGAAUUUCGAGAUCAAAUUGUUGGUCGUGCCUCGGUACGUACUGGCAUUAUUGAUUUCUCCCUUCUGACGAUCCGCGAUGUCAUUAAUUUGGUGUCGCGGGGAAUCAGGACUGUUACUUUGAAAAAAUUAGAGUGUUUAAAGCAGGCUCACGCUUGAAUACAUUAGCAUGGAAUAAUGAAAUAGGACGUUUGAUUCUAUUUUGUUGGUUUCUAGGAUCGACGUAAUGAUUAAUAGGGAUAGUUGGGGGCAUUAGUAUUCAAUUGUCAGAGGUGAAAUUCUUGGAUUUAUUGAGGACUAACUACUGCGAAAGCAUUUGCCAAGGAUGUUUUCAUUAAUCAAGAACGAAAGUUAGGGGAUCGAAGACGAUCAGAUACCGUCGUAGUCUUAACCAUAAACUAUGCCGACUAGGGAUCGGAUGAUGUUAAUUUUUUAAUGACUCAUUCGGCGCCUUACGGGAAACCAAAGUGU